rnacentral:rRNA from 1 species
UACGUAGGGUGCGAGCGUUAAUCGGAAUUACUGGGCGUAAAGCGUGCGCAGGCGGUUUUGUAAGUCAGAUGUGAAAUCCCCGAGCUCAACUUGGGAACUGCGUUUGAAACUACAAGACUAGAAUAUGUCAGAGGGGGGUAGAAUUCCACGUAUAGCAGUGAAAUGCGUAGAGAUGUGGAGGAAUACCAAUGGCGAAGGCAGCCCCCUGGGAUAAUAUUGACGCUCAUGCACGAA